rnacentral:rRNA from 1 species
UACGAAGGGGGCUAGCGUUGUUCGGAAUUACUGGGCGUAAAGGGCGCGUAGGCUGUGCUGUAAGUCAGGCGUGAAAGCCCCGGGCUCACCUGGGAAUUGCGCUUGAUACUGCGGCGCUGGAAGGUGGGAGAGGAUGGCGGAAUUCCCAGUGUAGAGGUGGAAAUGACGUAGAGAUCGGGAGGAACAUCAGUUGCGAAGGCGGCUCUCUGGACCAGCACUGACACUGGAGGCACGAAAGCGUGGGGAGCAAACAGG